rnacentral:rRNA from 1 species
CUACGGGGGGCUGCAGUGAGGGAUUUUGCGCAAUGGGGGAAACCCUGACGCAGCAACGCCGCGUGAGUGAAGAAGGUCUUUGGGUCGUAAAGCUCUGUCAACAGGGAAGAAGUUAUUAAUGUUUAAUAGAUGUUAGUAUUGACGGUACCUGUGAAGGAAGCACCGGCUAACUCCGUGCCAGCAGCCGCGGUAACACGGGGGGUGCAAGCGUUAUUCGGAAUUAUUGGGCGUAAAGGGCGCGUAGGCGGUUUUAUCAGUCAGAUGUGAAAGCCCGGGGCUCAACCCCGGAAGUGCAUUUGAAACAGUAAGACUUGAGUACGGGAGAGGGGAGCGGAAUUCCUGGUGUAGAGGUGAAAUUCGUAGAUAUCAGGAGGAACACCGAUGGCGAAGGCAGCUCUCUGGACCGAUACUGACGCUGAGGCGCGAAGGCGUGGGUAGCGAACAGGAUUAGAUACCCCCGUAGUC